GUUCUUCAGUAUAAUUUGAUCUUCCUUCUCUGAUGAACUUGCUGAAGAACAACUAAGAAGUUUUCAUAAUAUAAAGGUUAAAAAGAUUUCAAUAAGAUGUGGUUUACAUUAUUGUGGUAAUUAUAAGGUAUUAGUAGAAUUAAAGAAACGAAAUUAGGUAUGUCUUGAACUUUACCUCUAUUUGUAGCUCCGUGUUUCAUGGUUUUAUGUCUUUUUGUUCUUUCAAUUUAUUAGCCUAUUCAAUAUGGAGUGUAAUUUGUAUUUGAGAUUCUUGCGCUUGGAUUAUGAAAAUAUGAAUACGUUUUGAAUUACUCAAGCUGUAUGGAUCGACUCUUUGAAACAUAUUGAUUAUUGAAGUUAAAUUGCCUUUUUUCUCUUUUUUCCAUUCCAUUCCUAUUCUAUACCAAGUGUUUAGCAAAUAGAAAGAAACUCCACUGAUUGUUUUUAUUAAAUAACAUUCUUCUCAAAUCUUAACUGUAUGCAAUUAAACAUUUUUUGCCCCUGAACCUUCAGUUUUAACAAACUUUUCUGCUCUCAAGUGAACACAUAAAAGAGUAAUUUGACUAAGGUUACACCAUAUCCUACUUAAAGCUAUGUUGCUCUUAUCUUAGUCAGUACCUUUCCAUUUCUGUUUGCAUCUUUAAUUUCUUUGUGUUAGUGCUUCAACACCUCAAUAUCUCUUUCCAUUUGUUUAAGAUUGAGCCAAUUCCAAGUGGAAAUAUGUCUCCCGGGUUCCGCAGUGUGCUGAGUGUUGGACUUAUUUUAAUGUUUAAAUUUAUUUCUUUUCUUUUUUGCAUUUUUCUUUGGCUCUUGUGCAUGCAACACACAAGACAGAAGUCUAUAGUGAGCAUCUCUUUGUUCUAUUGAUUAGUUGAUACUUUGAUUCACAUAAAACAUAUCACAUAAAUUCGUUCUUCACUUAUUCAAAGUUCCAACUCCAAAGUGAAAGUUUCGAACUUGCAUACUAAUUUUAUAGAUUCUAUUCCAUUAUUUUUUUACUUUGAUUAGUUGUUAGUUUGAUUUACCAUAAAAAAAAAGAUGUUACACAGUACAAUUGAAUGUUUCAGAAUCCAGAAUUUUUUUAUUUAUUUGUUCACUUUUAUUAGUUCUUGAUUAGUUGAUAGUUUGAUUUAUAUAAAUCAAAGUCUCCAGACUCCAAAAAUUCCAAUAAUCUAUUCAAGGUAAUUUCUAAUUGUGUAUAAUUCUAUUAACUUCAGAUUUUAUAUUAAAAUAAGUUCAUAUGAAUUACUGGUUUAAAGUUUUAAGUGUGUUUGUGAUUUACUGUGUUGUAAGUUUUAAGUUCUAUUAUGUUUUAAGUGUAUUGGUGAGUUUCUGGUUUUCAAAAAAAAAAAAAAGUGAGUUUCUGUAUUAUAUUAAGUAUUAUAUUAAGUUAUAAGUUCUAUUUAUCUCCAGGCUCCAAAUGAACUGUGUUGUCUUGUGUUUUAAGUUUCAAGUUUUUAUUUCAUUUACUACUCCGUAUUAGUUUAUUAAGGACACAAUGUUGGUUUAUUAAGUAGACACUAUUAGUUUUAAUGUGUUAUGCACUUAUGCAGAUUGGCACUUGGCAGUAUGGUUGUAUGCCUAUAACUUCUGGACUUUAUGAACUCUAUGCUGAAGUUGAACAACUCCUCUCCUGGGCAUAUACUGAUGUGGCAGACAGUUUUGAGGAAGGUGGAAGAACUCUCGGCAUAUACUGGUCUGGCAAGCGGUUGAGGAAAGAUAAUUAUAACAGACCAUAGUGUAAUGCAAUCAGCUUUAUGUUGAUGAGGCUAAUCCAAAAAGGUAAUAAAAUUUUGGACAACAAUGUCAUUAUCCGGCAAACAAAGUGAGAUAGAAAUGGAAUUGUUCUGAAUCUAUGAAAAAGUUACAUUGGAAAAAGUAAUGCGCCAGUCCAGACUCCACUAACUUUUGCAAAGUUAGAGAUAGAGAUGUAAUUGCUGUAAUUAAUUAUACGCCAAGCUUGGAUUUGUUUGGAGGACAACCACCUUAUUAUCCGGGCAAAAAGAUUGACAGUGAAAUGGCGUUUUGAAGAAAUCAAAAAGUUUUAUUGGGAAACGUGAAUUGCCACUAAGUUUUGCAGAAUUAGUGGUUUGCUGUGUAAUUAUAUGCCAAAUGCUAUGGAAUUAUGGCAGAAUUGUAAUUUGUAUAAAAGCUGAUGGCAAUUGAUAAUAAAAAUAAAUCUAAAUGUUUGAUAAAAAAA